rnacentral:rRNA from 1 species
UGACCGCGUAUGAAAGUACGUUUCACCUCGGGUGACAGGACACAGGUGCUGCAUGGCUGUCGUCAGCUCAUGUCGUGAGAUGUUGGGUUAAGUCCCGUAACGAGCGCAACCCUUGUCCUUAGUUACCAGCACGUAAUGGUGGGCACUCUAAGGAGACUGCCGGUGACAAACCGGAGGAAGUGGGGAUGACGUCAAGUCAUCAUGGCCCUUACGGCCAGGGCUACACACGUGCUACAAUGGUCGGUACAAAGGGUUGCCAAGCCGCGAGGUGGAGCUAAUCCCAUAAAACCGAUCGUAGUCCGGAUCGCAGUCUGCAACUCGACUGCGUGAAGUCGGAAUCGCUAGUAAUCGUGAAUCAGAAUGUCACGGUGAAUACGUUCCCGGGCCUU